rnacentral:rRNA from 1 species
GUUAGGAAUAUUGGACAAUGGGCGAAAGCCUGAUCCAGCCAUGCCGCGUGAACGAUGAAGGCCUUCGGGUUGUAAAGUUCUUUAGCCGAUGAUUAUAAUGACUGUAGUCGGAAAAUAAGCCCCGGCUAACUUCGUGCCAGCAGCCGCGGUAAUACGAAGGGGGCGAGCGUUAUUCGGAAUCACUGGGCGUAAAGCGUGCGUAGACGGUUUUGUAAGUUAGGAGUGAAAGCCCAGGGCUCAACCUUGGAAUUGCUCUUAAAACUGCAAGGCUCGAAUCUCGGAGAGGAUAGCGGAAUUUCCAGUGUAGCAGUGAAAUGCGUAGAUAUUGGAAGGAACACCAGUGGCGUAAGCGGCUAUCUGGACGAGUAUUGACGCUGAGGCACGAAAGCGUGGGGAUCAAACAGGAUUAGAUACCCGAGUAGUCC